AAAAUGGUCUCAGACAUCACACAAGCCUUCCAGAAAGAACCCAUCUGCCUCUUCUGUCUGAACUAACUCGUAGACCCCAUCACCACAGGCUGUGGACCCAGCUUCUGUAGGCCCUGUCUCUGCCUUUCCUGGGAAGAAGCCAAAAUUCCUACCUGCUGCCCACAUGCGGGGAACUGUCACAGCAGGAGGACGUCAAAACCAAUAUUCUUCUGUAGAAUCCAGUGUGCAUUGCCAGAAAAGCCAGUCUCUGGCAAUUCCUGAGCUCUAAUGAAUAAAUGUGUGGGAUCCACAGGGAGAAAAAAAGAUAUUUGGAGCGGUGGAUAAGAGCCUGCUUCAUUUGCUGUUCUGGAACACUCAGGAGCAAGGGGCUCCCAGACACUGUGAGGGGCAACUAAGGAAAUCUGGUGGAUAUUACUCUGAAUCACGAUGAGCCAACAGUCAUAUCUUUCGAUGUGGAGAUUUGAGAAGCAUGUGUAUUGGAUGUGACCGUCCAAAUCCGCCCCAUAUCACUGCAACACCUACAAGUUUUCUUGCAUGGGGUGCUCAGACUUUCACCUCCGGCAAAUAUUACUGGGAGGUCCAUGUGGGGGACUCUUGGAAUUGGGCUUUUGGUGUCUGUAAUAAGUACUGGAAAGGGAAGAAUACGAAUGACAAUAUAUAUGGAGAGGAGGGACUCCUUAGUCUUGGAUGUGCCAAGAAUGACAUUCAGUGCAGUCUCUUUACCACCUCCCCACUUACACUGCAAUAUAUCCCAAGACCUACCAGCCACAUAGGAUUAUUCCUGGAUUGUGAAGCUAGAACUGUGAGCUUCGUUGAUGUUAAUCAAAGCUGCCUUAUAUACACCAUCCCUAAUUGCUCCUUCUCACCUCCUCUCAGGCCUACCUUUCGGUGUAUUCACCUC
rnacentral:lncRNA from 1 species